rnacentral:rRNA from 1 species
ACUCUACNAUCGCAGGCAASUGCGAUAGGGGGACAUCGAGUGGCAUCCACCUUGGGUGCCUGUCCAACCGUCUAAAAAACGGUUGUUAGCAAGGGCCGGGUAAGACCGGUGCCAGCCGCCGCGGUAAUACCGGCGGCUCGAGUGGUGGCCGAUAUAAUUGAGUCUAAAGGGUCCGUAGCCGGCUUUGCAAGUCCCCUGGGAAAUCCAGCGGCUUAACCGUUGGGCUUUCAUGGGAUACUACAUUGCUUGGGACUGRGAGARGUAGGAGGUACUCGGKGGGUAUGG